rnacentral:rRNA from 1 species
UAGGUCCUACGGGACGCAGCAGUGAGGAAUAUUGGUCAAUGGGCGCGAGCCUGAACCAGCCAAGUCGCGUGAGGGAAGACGGUCCUAUGGAUUGUAAACCUCUUUUGUCGGGGAGCAAAAGACGCCACGUGUGGCGUUCCGAGAGUACCCGAAGAAAAAGCAUCGGCUAACUCCGUGCCAGCAGCCGCGGUAAUACGGAGGAUGCGAGCGUUAUCCGGAUUUAUUGGGUUUAAAGGGUGCGCAGGCGGAAGAUCAAGUCAGCGGUAAAAUUGAGAGGCGCAACAUCUUCGAGUCGUUGAAACUGG